rnacentral:rRNA from 1 species
AAGCCCCCGCAAGGGGGUGAGUAGAGUGGCGAACGGGUGAGUAACGCGUGGGUAAUCUGCCCUCGGGUGGGGGACAACACUCCGAAAGGGGUGCUAAUACCGCAUAAGACCACGACCUCCGCGGAGGAAGUGAGAAAAGACGGCCUCUGCUUGCAAGCUGUCGCCUGAGGAUGAGCCUGCGUCCGAUUAGCUAGUUGGUAGGGUAACGGCCUACCAAGGCAACGAUCGGUAGCUGGUCUGAGAGGACGACCAGCCACACUGGAACUGAGACACGGUCCAGACUCCUACGGGAGGCAGCAGUGGGGAAUAUUGCGCAAUGGGGGAAACCCUGACGCAGCAACGCCGCGUGAGUGAUGAAGGCCUUCGGGUCGUAAAGCUCUGUCGAGUGGAACGAAAAGGCGCGCGCUAACAUCGCGCGUCCAUGACGGUACCGCUAAAGGAAGGACCGGCUAACUCCGUGCCAGCAGCCGCGGUAAUACGGAGGGUCCUAGCGUUGCUCGGAAUUACUGGGCGUAAAGGGCGCGUAGGCGGCUUGUUAAGUCGAGUGUGAAAGCCCAGGGCUCAACCCUGGAACGUCAUUCGAAACUGGCAGACUUGAGUGCGGGAGGGGAGAGCGGAAUUCCUGGUGUAGAGGUGAAAUUCGUAGAUAUCAGGAGGAACACCGGUGGCGAAUGCGGCUCUCUGGACCGCAACUGACGCUGAGGCGCGAAAGCGUGGGUAG